rnacentral:rRNA from 1 species
UACGUAGGGGGCAAGCGUUGUCCGGAAUCAUUGGGCGUAAAGAGCGUGUAGGCGGCCCGAUAAGUCCGCUGUGAAAGUCCAGGGCUCAACCCUGGAAUGCCGGUGGAUACUGUCGGGCUCGAAUCCGGAAGAGGUGAGUGGAAUUCCUGGUGUAGCGGUGAAAUGCGCAGAUAUCGGAAGGAACAUCAGUGGCGAAAGCGACUUCCUGGACCAAUACUGACGCUCAUGUGCGAAAGCGUGGGGAGCAAACAGG